GACGAACGCUGGCGGCGUGCUUAACACAUGCAAGUCGAACGGUGAAGGGACCGGUUUUUGCUGGUUCUGGAUGAGUGGCGAACGGGCGAGUAACACGUGAGUAACCUGCCCCCUUCUUCUGGAUAACCGCAUGAAAGUGUGGCUAAUACGGGAUAUUCUGCGCCUGCUGCAUGGUGGGUGUGGGAAAGAUAUUGUUUCGGUGGGGGAUGGGCUCGCGGCCUAUCAGCUUGUUGGUGGGGUGAUGGCCUACCAAGGCGGUGACGGGUAGCCGGCCUGAGAGGGGGGACGGUCACACUGGGACUGAGACACGGCCCAGACUCCUACGGGAGGCAGCAGUGGGGAAUAUUGCACAAUGGGCGCAAGCCUGAUGCAGCGACGCCGCGUGAGGGAUGGAGGCCUUCGGGUUGUAAACCUCUUUCGCCAGUGAAGCAGGCCUGUCCCUUUUGUGGGUGGGUUGACGGUAGCUGGAUAAGAAGCGCCGGCUAACUACGUG
rnacentral:rRNA from 1 species